rnacentral:rRNA from 1 species
GACGAACGCUGGCGGCGUGCUUAACACAUGCAAGUCGAACGGAAAGGCCCUGCUUUUGUGGGGUGCUCGAGUGGCGAACGGGUGAGUAACACGUGAGUAACCUGCCCUUGACUUUGGGAUAACUUCAGGAAACUGGGGCUAAUACCGGAUAGGAGCUCCUGCUGCAUGGUGGGGGUUGGAAAGUUUCGGCGGUUGGGGAUGGACUCGCGGCUUAUCAGCUUGUUGGUGGGGUAGUGGCUUACCCAGGCUUUGACGGGUAGCCGGCCUGAGAGGGUGACCGGCCACAUUGGGCCUGCGAUACGGCCCAGACUCCAACGGGAGGCAGCAGUGGGGAACAUUGCACAAUGAGCCGAAGCCGGAGGCAGAAACGCCGGGGGCGGGAUGACGGCCUUCGGGUUGUAAACCGCUUUCGCCUGUGACGAAGCGUGAGUGACGGUAAUGGGUGAAGAAGCACCGGCUAACUACGU